rnacentral:rRNA from 1 species
GACGAACGCUGGCGGCGUGCCUAACACAUGCAAGUCGAGCGGGGUUGAGGCGAGAGGUAACUCGAGCUUCUACCUAGCGGCGGACGGGUGAGUAACGCGUGGGCAACCUGCCUCAAGGUUUGGGAUAACAGCCCGAAAGGGCUGCUAAUACCGGAUAUGCCUAUGGCCUCGCAUGGGGCUAUGAGCAAAGGGGAAACCCGCCUUGAGAUGGGCCCGCGUCCCAUCAGCUAGUUGGUGAGGUAACAGCUCACCAAGGCGACGACGGGUAGCCGGCCUGAGAGGGUGACCGGCCACACUGGGACUGAGACACGGCCCAGACUCCUACGGGGGCAGCAGUGGGGGAUCUUGCACAAUGGGCGAAAGCCUGAUGCAGCGACGCCGCGUGAGCGAAGAAGGCCUUGGUUGUAAGCUCUGUCUGGAGGGACGGAACAAAAUAGACGGUACCGUACCGGACGGAAGCCAACGGCUAACUACGUGCCAGCAGCCGCGGUAAUACUGUAGU